GGUAUAGCUCAAUUGGUUAGAGCGCUGGAUUGUGAUUCCAGAGGCUGGGGGUUCAAGUCCCCUUAC
rnacentral:tRNA from 1 species